rnacentral:rRNA from 1 species
ACCUGACUGCUAUCGGAUUGAUACUAAGCCAUGCGAGUCAUUGUAGCAAUACAAGGCAUACGGCUCAGUAACGCGUAGUCAACCUAACCUAUGGACGGGAAUAACCUCGGGAAACUGAGAAUAAUGCCCGAUAGAACACUAUACCUGGAAUGGUUUGUGUUCCAAAUGAUUUAUCGCCAUAGGAUGGGACUGCGGCCUAUCAGUUUGUUGGUGAGGUAAUGGCCCACCAAGACUAUUACAGGUACGGGCUCUGAGAGGAGUAGCCCGGAGAUGGGUACUGAGACACGGACCCAGGCCCUAUGGGGCGCAGCAGGCGAGAAAACUUUGCAAUGUGCGAAAGCACGACAAGGUUAAUCCGAGUGAUUUGUGCUAAACGAAUCUUUUGUUAGUCCUAGAAACACUAACGAAUAAGGGGUGGGCAAGUUCUGGUGUCAGCCGCCGCGGUAAAACCAGCACCUCAAGCGGUCAGGAUGAUUAUUGGGCCUAAAGCAUCCGUAGCCGGCUCUGUAAGUUUUCGGUUAAAUCUGUACGCUUAACGUACAGGCUGCCGGGAAUACUGCAGAGCUAGGGAGUGGGAGAGGUAGACGGUACUCGGUAGGAAGUGGUAAAAUGCUUUGAUCUAUCGAUGACCACCUGUGGCGAAGGCGGUCUACCAGAACACGUCCGACGGUGAGGGAUGAAAGCUGGGGGAGCAAACCGGAUUAGAUACCCGGGUAGUCCCAGCUGUAAACUAUGCAAACUCAGUGAUGCAUUGGCUUGUGGCCAAUGCAGUGCUGCAGGGAAGCCGUUAAGUUUGCCGCCUGGGAAGUACGUACGCAAGUAUGAAACUUAAAGGAAUUGGCGGGGGAGCACCACAAGGGGUGAAGCCUGCGGUUC